GCAGCGUGGCCGCGCACUUCAGGUCCCAGCCCCCGGCGCUUCCCUGCCUUCACGUUCAGCUGGCGGUAGAGGCACUGGGCCCUUCUCGGGCUUCCUCUGCUCGGCGGAGAGUCACACCUGCCGUGCCGCUCCUGUUUUUGUGAACGUGUGCAUUUUGGAUUACGCAUAUGUGAACUGCCUGCACGUUCUGGGGGAGCCCACCACUGCGUCACUGGACGUGGGUGUGCUGGUCCGGGGGACAGGUGGUGGGCGACCAGCCACAGCUGGCUGCGGGACCAGCCAUCAGGCAAAUUAGGGAUGAGUGUAUCAUGCUCAUUGGUGCUCGUUUCUUUCACGUAUGGAGCCACAGAACCCUCAAAGCCAGGACGAUGUGGGUCCCAGGGCACUGGCGUCCCUGAGAUGCCAUGUCUGUGGAACAUGCAGGAGUAGGUCCAGCCUACUGGGGUCUCCCUGCACACCCAGCCUCUACUUGGACGUCUCUUAUUUUGCCUCCUGGCAUCCUCGGAUCCUUCCUUCGGUAACAGGGUCCUGGGUCUUCCUCCGGGAACCUCCCACCCCGCAGGCUGCAUCUGUGGCCCGGAAGGUGCUGGCUCCACCCCUCGCUCUACAGGGCCAACGACCUGGACUGGCCAGUGAGCAGGUUCUUCCCCCAGCCGGGUCGGUGGGUCAGAGUGAGCAGGUGACCCAUGGGGCCCGGGGGAGGUGUGGGGGGAACAAGCUUCCCUGGCACUGGCUGGGGCUCUCCCAGAAAGCAUGAGACAAGGGCCUAUGUGUUUGUAGCUUACUGGGAGGCAAUCCCAGAAAGCACCAGGGGUGUGUGUGUUUUGUGUGUGUUUAAGUUCACAUGUGUGUAUGUGUACAUGUGUGCAUAUGUGCAUGUUUGUGUGUGCAUGUAUGUGUGUACCUGCAUACAUGCACAGGUGCAUAUGUGCACAUACAUGCACACAUGUGUAUAUGUUCACAAUCCAUGCAUGUCUAUGUGUAUAUAUGUGUGAUUUCAUGUGUGUGCAUGAGUAUAUGUACAUGCUCACAUGUAUCUAUGCAUACACACAUGAAGCACAUGUAUGUGCAUGUGCAUUUGCAACUGUGUAAGUAUGUAGAUGUGUACAUGUAUGUGUUCAUGUCUGACGUGUACAGCUCUAUCUGUGCAUGUGUGUACAUGUGUGCAUAUGAGCAUGCUGUGCACGCAUGUGUGUGACGUGUUUACAUGUGUCCAGCUCUGUGCGUGUGUACAUGUGUGCAUAUGAGCAUGCUGUGCACGCGUGUGUGUGACAUGUUUACAUGUGUCCACAUGUAUUUGCAUGUACCUGGGCUUGCAUGUGUAUAAGUAAAUGUUUGGAAGUGUAUUCGUGUGUGUGCAUAUGUGUGUGUGUACAUAUGCAUAUGGGUUUGCUGGCGUGUGUGUGUGUGCGUGCAUGUGUAUAAGUGUGUUUGGAAGUGUAUAUGUGCAUACGUGUGUAUGUACACAUGCAUAUGGGUUUGCUGGCAUGUCUGUGUGCCUGUGUGUGUCUGCGUAUAGAACGCUGGAAGGAUGGAGUUCAGGAUGCACUGCAGGCCACGAACAGCGAAGCGGCUCCCAGGUUGCAAUGUGCCGGUCAGAGCUGGUCAGCAGCACCUCCGGUGCGGGUCCCUGUGGGAGGCCAGUGAUGGCCUCUGCAGACCUCAGGUCCUGAUCUGUGGAGCCUGUGACUGUGGCCUUAGGAGGAAAAACGAGUCAGCAGAUGUGAAUACAUUAAGAAGCUCGAUGUGGAAGAUUGUCCUGGAUCAUCCAGCCAGUCUAGGUUAGCUGCUGCCAUGGCAGUGAAGACGGUCCGGUGGGAUAUGCCGCCUGAACUUCAGCACCGCACGUGGUUCCUGGAGCCCAGGCCAGUGGGAGGUUUGUCAUACAGGUCCCCGGCACCUUCCUACAGGUAAGAGUGUCUUCAGUGAGGGUCGCAGACCAGGCUGGAGUCAGUAGGUCCCCGGGGUACCUGCUGCUGGGCGCCGUCUGCUGGCUCCAGGGUUGUCUGACGCUGAGGCACCUUCUUGGCCCUGUGGCCCCCACGCUCUGGGGCCCACGCGGAGGAUCUGAGCUCAUAGAAACUUGAGGACUUCACCUUGCUACAGAGGCAUCACAGCCCUGACGUCACGCAGCUUUGACAAUCUGCCAGGUGUCUAAUCACAGGGACAGAGCACACCUCAAAGUGGUUUAAGCACAAAAAACAAAAACAAAAACAAAAAACAAAAACAAAAACAAAGAAAAAACAAAGAAACAGGCGACUUGCUAAGAGGAGCUGAGAUGAGAGUGAUGGUAACAGGCCCCAGGCGCAGCGCGGUCCGGGCGUUCCCACGAUGUCUGGAGUCUGCUGUUCUCCCUCUCCUGGCUUUCUUCUUUCUUCUGGGCUGGCUUCGUGCUCUAGCAAGCUCUGGGGCGGUGGUGCAGUCGGCCCAGCAAGCGUUUGAGCCACCCCCAGUGUUGGAGAGGGUGACACCGGGCCCAGUGCGGGGAGAUGGUCCCACGAGGCGUCCGGAGCGGCGUUUUGUCUGGGCGUCCGGAGCGGCGUUUU